UACGGGGGGGGCAAGUGUUACUCAUCAUGACUAGGCGUAAAGGGUGGUGUGAUGGCAGGGGUUUGCUUGUGCUAAAAUUUCAAUGGAUUUAUUGGCCAUGUAUUAGAACAGCUUUGCUAGAGUGGGUUAGAGAAUAGAGUUACUGAUUUUUCAGGGGUAGAAUCCAGCGAGAAAAUUAGGAGAAACAAUGGCGAAAGCAACUAUUUAUGAUCAACUGACAUUUAGCCACGAAAGCGUGGGGAGCAAACAGG
rnacentral:rRNA from 1 species